rnacentral:pre_miRNA from 1 species
AAAAAGACAAAUCCUGGUUUUCGUGUCCAACGUUUAACCGUCCGUCUUAUUUGAAAAAAUUAUGAAAAAAAUUAAAAAGACAAGUCACGCAUAAAAUAUUAAUCAUGUUUUAUCAUCUAACAACAAUGAAAAUACGAAUUAUAAAAAGAUUUCAUAUAAGACGGACAGUCAAAGUUGGACACGGAAAAUCCAGGGUUUGUCUUUUU